AUCGAACGCUGGCGGCAGGCCUAACACAUGCAAGUCGAGCGGAUGAGAGGAACUUGCUUCUCGAUUCAGCGGCGGACGGGUGAGUAAUGCCUAGGAAUCUGCCUGGUAGUGGGGGACAACGUUUCGAAAGGAACGCUAAUACCGCAUACGUCCUACGGGAGAAAGCAGGGGACCUUCGGGCCUUGCGCUAUCAGAUGAGCCUAGGUCGGAUUAGCUAGUUGGUGAGGUAAUGGCUCACCAAGGCGACGAUCCGUAACUGGUCUGAGAGGAUGAUCAGUCACACUGGAACUGAGACACGGUCCAGACUCCUACGGGAGGCAGCAGUGGGGAAUAUUGGACAAUGGGCGAAAGCCUGAUCCAGCCAUGCCGCGUGUGUGAAGAAGGUCUUCGGAUUGUAAAGCACUUUAAGUUGGGAGGAAGGGUUGUAGAUUAAUACUCUGCAAUUUUGACGUUACCGACAGAAUAAGCACCGGCUAACUCUGUGCCAGCCGCCGCCGUAAGAC
rnacentral:rRNA from 1 species